rnacentral:rRNA from 1 species
GACGAACGCUGGCGGCGUGCUUAACACAUGCAAGUCGAACGAAGAGCGAUGGACGCUUGCUUCUAUCAAUCUUAGUGGCGAACGGGUGAGUAACGCGUAAUCAACCUGCCCUUCAGAGGGGGACAACAGUUGGAAACGACUGCUAAUACCGCAUACGAUCUAAUCUCGGCAUCGAGGAUAGAUGAAAGGUGGCCUCUACAUGUAAGCUAUCACUGAAGGAGGGGAUUGCGUCUGAUUAGCUAGUUGGAGGGGUAACGGCCCACCAAGGCGAUGAUCAGUAGCCGGUAUGAGAGGAUGAACGGCCACAUUGGGACUGAGACACGGCACAGACUCCUACGGGAGGCAGCAGUGGGGAAUCUUCCGCAAUGGACGAAAGUCUGACGGAGCAACGCCGCGUGAGUGAUGACGGCCGUCGGGUUGUAAAGCUCGGUUAAUCGGGACGAAAGGCCUUCUUGCGAAUAGUGAGAAGGAUUGACGGUACCGGAAUAGAAAGCCACGGCUAACUACGUG